ACCAAGGCCCUGGCGAAGGCCGUGGCCUCGUUCAAGUAAUCCAGGAUAGGCUGUGCAGGUCCCAAGGGGCCUAUUCUCGGUUACUUGCACGCGGACGCGGGCCUGGACGCCAGCCUCUGGG
rnacentral:precursor_RNA from 8 species